UUUAAAAUUAAACUUUUUUUUCUUUAUAAAUUAAACUUUUUAAUUUUUUAGUUACCCUCUGUCUUUUCCCUUUUAAAAAAAAUAAACUUUUUAAUUUACUAUUUCUUUACAAAUAUUUUCUCCUCUUUCUUGUAAAAAUACAUAUUAGGUUAGUAAUAAAAGUUUACCCUUUUAAUUUUACCUUGUAAAUUUAGCUCCUUCCAUAUCCUCUUUCCUCUAUAUUUCAAUUUUAACCAUAGAUCUUUCUGUCUUUAUUUUUCUUUAAAUAUCCAAGUUUAAAAAAAAAAAUUUAUAAGCCGCUGUAAGGACUGAGAUUUUGCAGUGUAGCUAAACUCUGUUGACGAUGUUUUUGUGUGUAAUUUAAUUACAAAAGCACUCGUCAAGUUUUGGGAGAAAUCGAGUUAAAACGGAGAUUCUACGCGAUUUCCAAGUUCUACUUAAAGUGAAUAGUAACUUGGUUUUCCGGAGAGCUCAAUGCGUAAAGCUGGCUUCUGGCUCGUAUCGGACUCCGUUCAUAGCGGUCCAAUAGCUCGUUUCGACCGGUUCAGCUGUUCUGGAACUAGUGGCGCUGACGGAUUUUGAGUUUGAUGCACGGAUUUCGAGAAAAUCCAAAAAUACAUGUUUUAUAUGUAAUUGUGCGUAGUUCUUCUAUUGGAGAGUUGGAACGGUUCUUGUCGCGAAUCCGCGACCGAUCGAGAUGAACCAAAAUGGUAGCUUUGUUGUCUCCAUGGUGCUGAUCGCACUGGUGUAAUCCGUUCGCAAAUCUGACGGACGGAUCUGCGGAGAUCGCACGUUGAUCGAGAAGAGGUCGGUGUAGGAAAAACGGUAAUUUCGCAAAAGUCGCGACAUUUUAUGUACCGUUUUGCGUGAGAUCGCACGUGGAAGGGUGUUCUCGCGUUUCACACGCGCUGUGAGGGACUCAGUAUCAAAUACUGAAGUUUGAGAGGCUUUUCCGCAAUUUGCACCUUAUAUAUAUAUUAUAUCUAGGGUUUUGCAAUGGAAACUCUAACCCUAGACCAUAGCCGCACCCCAGCCACUCCAUCUACCUCCCCUGCCCUUGCUGCGCCACCCCCGGCCGUCGCCGACUGAGCCCCGGCCGGCCAACCGCUGCCGCAGCCACCACAUUCCUCUCUCUCCAUCUCUCUCUCCAUCUCUAUCUCUUUUUCUCGAGUUGGGGGCAAGCCCGAGGUUGCUCUUCUCUCUGCCGCUUCCCCUAGAGUCCAAGUGUCCCUCCCAGCCGGUCGCCGCCGCCUGCCGCCGUCGCUGAGCGCGGCAGCCGCGUCGUUGCCACCCUGCAACCGGCUUGGCCGAGCUCAGGCCGAGCUUGGUUGCAUCAGCUGCCCGCGCCCCGCUACCGCCUGAGAUCGCUCCCGCCGCCGUCCCCGGGGUCUCGGCAACCUUCCCCGCCGGUCACCGCCGCCGCUGUGGGCCGCCGCCGCCGCCUCGGCCAUCCGCAGCCGCCCCAGACCCGCUCGGGCCAAGGCAAGCACACGACUCCUUCCCGGCGCCGCCGCCGCUCGGGGCCGCACCCGAGGUACCUCUCCGGCCUCCUGCAACCAUCCUUCGCCGUCCCGGAGCUCCUCGGCCGCCGCUGUGGCCGCCAUUGCCCGUGGAACCCGAGGCUUUGCACGUGCGGGCUGAGCUUGCUUCCCCGACGCCGCCGUCGCUCCCCGCCGCCAACUGAGGUGAGCAUCGUGUUCCUCACCUCCCCCGCAGCCAUCCCUGGCCGUCGCGCGCGCCGCCGUGCCGCCGGAAGCCGGCCGGAGCGAGCUUGCUUCGGCCAAGCCCGAAAUAGGGCUUAGUUUGGAUGGUUUACUGUUCCGAGCAACCCGAGCCUCCCCGAUCUCUGCGGAAGGGAGCACGAUGAUUGUAGCAAAUUUCUGAUCAUCGUGCUCACCUUAGUUUCUGUUGGGGAGACUCCGUUCCUCUGUUUCGGCGGUGUCGACCCUGUCGAGCCUUUUUGGCUGCUGUUUUGGGUUUGCGCACACUUAUCCGGAGAUUCGAGACUGUUCCGAUGCCUCCGGAGGUGAGCACGGUGAUCGUUGGUCAGUUCUGAUCACAGUACUCACCUUACUUUGGAUCAGAGGAUGUCGUAUCGGCCUNGUGUGCGAUUCCUCGAAUUGUUGCUCCAAAAAUCCAACCUUGUCUUUAUACGAUUUGAUCGUUGAUUCCGCUUCAUCAAGUUUCUCUUGGAGGAUCGAAUUAUUCUUCCAAAUCGAUUCCUUUUCCUCCUCGAGAGCACUAUUCAUGGUCUUCAAAUUUUUGUUUUCCUCUUCAAGUUCAAGUAGACGCUUCCUCAAUUUCUUAUUGUGCUUCGCCAUCUUUUUGGAUUCGACAAGGAGUUGAUGAUAAGCUUCCACUAAAUCCUCGGCGUUUGAUUCCUCCUCGCUUUCGCCAUUGACGCCUCAACUUCUUAUUGAGCUUGGUCAUCUUUUUCGAAUCAAUAAGAAGUUGGUUGUAUGCUUCCGCUAUAUCCUCGUUGUUUGAUUCCUCUUCGCUUUCACCGAUAUCGCUCGAAGUACUUUGCACGGAAGGAGAAAUACUAGAAUUAGAAACAAUUGAGGAUAAGCACAUAACAUUAGACGAAGGCAAAGAAUUAUUAGCAAGUAAAGCAAUAUGAUCAUCCUUUUCUUCGUCACUUGAAGAUGAUUCACUCGAAGUAGAAUCAUCCCAAGUUUUUGCUUGCAAAGCCUUUUGUCUAUAAGUCUUGUUAGAAGGACAAUCCAUCGCAAUGUGACCGUAGCCUUUACAUUUGUAGCAUUGGAUUUUCCCUUCAAAUUUAUCUUUUUCUUUCGAAGACUUUACAAAUUUCUUAUCCUUAGAUUUAGAAGAUGAAGAUGAUUUAGAAAAAGAUUGUUGCUUAGACGAUGAAGCCUUCUCCAAUUUAUUCUUGUUUCGGAAGUUCUGACGAAAUUUUUUCGUUAGGAGCGCUAAUUGAUGUUCAAAAUCGGCAAGCGAAACAUCUCCGUCGGAAUCCGAGUCGUCGUCUUCUUUCUUUGUCGAUUUGAGUGCAACCCCUGUACUUUUAGAAGAAGACUUGGAAAAAGAUAGGUUAGUAGGAAAAGUCAUCUCAUAUGUUUGUAAAGCGCCUACUAAUUCCUCUACUUUCAUCUCGUCCGGAUGCUUUACCGUUUCAAUCGCGGCAACCUUUGCCCGAAAACGUUCCGGAAGAGUCCGAAGAAUUUUUCUAACAACUUUAGCAUCCGGGAUUUUCUCUCCCAAGUUCGCACAAGUAUUAACAACAUCUUGAAGUCGCGUAUAGUACUCGGUAAAGGUCUCGUUUUAAUCCAUAGAAAUUGAAUCAAACUUGCUUGUUAGCAUUUGUAAUUUUUGGACCUUUACUAAGCUCGUUCCUUCAUGCGUAACUUGUAGAGUAUUCCAAAUCUCUUUGGCGGUAUUACACGCCAAAACGCGAGUGAACUCCGUUUGUGACAAUGCAUUAAAUAAAGCAUUUAUGCCCUUGCCAUUAAACGAAGAUGACUCGUUUUCGUCUUUCGUCCACUUGUUCCGCAGUUUAGGAACGGUAGCAUUAUCGACGACUUCACUAGAAUGCUUCCAACCGAAUUUGAUAGCUUGCCACACCCGCUCAUCGAUUGCGAUUAGAAAAGCUCUCAUGCGAACUUUCCUAUAGGCAUAAUUCGUGCCAUCGAAGAGUGGUGGUCGAUUAAUGUUACCGCCUUCGGCCAUUAGAUAACAAUUUAUUUAGAUCCCGCUCUGAUAAAAAUUGUAAGUUUUGGGGUUCCCAAGGAUCUAUCUAGAUUGUAUUAAACACCUAGAGGGGUGUGAAUAGGUGUAACGGCCAAAAAUCACAAAUCUCAAUGCGAUAAAAGUAAAUGCGGAAAAUAAAAAUCACACCAAGAUUUACGUAGGAAAACUCCAACUUGGAGUUAAAAACCCACGGGACCAACACGCGAAAAAAUAAUUCACUAAGAGAAAAGAUUACAAGGUGAUUAUCGACUUUACGGACUCGACCUCUCUUAACCUUCUAUGAAUCUCGCGCAAUCCUCUGGGUUGUCCACGCCUUCAAGUUCGAAUUCACGAAUGCCACGUUCCGAAUUCACGAAACGACACCAUUCCGAAUUCACGAAGCCUCGAUCACGCUGAAUCCACGACGCCCACUCGAAUUCACNNNNNNNNNNNNNNNNNNNNNNNNNUGGGACAAGGUGGAGCUUCACUCACCUUCCUCUCCUCUGGUUCCAGCACAAAAAAAGCCCUAAGGGGUGUGGGUGCUGUUAUAAAAAGCCCACAAUCGCGAAAAACCCCCUGCAGACCAAACUGCACAAAAACUGCCUCCUUGUAACGGUACACGGGCUCUUGUACCGGUACAAGGCCGACCAAAAUGCAAACCCGAGGCUCGGGUCGCGGGGUCUGCGGCUCUGUACCGGUACAAGCCCGAUGGCUGUACCGGUACAACCAUCAACCCUUGUACCGGUACAAGGCCAGUCUUGUUCCGGUACAAGCCCUGCUGCAGGUUGCCCGAGAGCUGUCCAAGAAUUCCGAUUUUGGAAUUUUGGUGCCAAGUCCCACUCCAACAUCCUCGGGAUGCGUGCCAGGGGUCGGAACACUAUCAACGACCUUCCAAAAACUGUGGGAAUGCUCCAAACACAGAUCAAACACUCGAAUCUUGCGAUUUGCUAAGAUCCAGUGUAUUACACACACUGUGUGUAUUCCUAGACACUAGGUCGGUUUCGCUACCGACCAGGGGUGUACUUAUCCAGAUGGGUCGUCAGUGGACGCGUGAAUCAGGUUAGUAUAUGUAUGCAUUGUGACAGGCAACAAUUAAGAUUUGCGGACCAAUAUGGUAGGCACUAGAUUGGGUUUGAUUUGGAUUAUUUACCUUUGAGCCAUCUGUUCAGUUGAAAUUUUGUUAUUAGUAGUGGUUUGGUUCUUGCCCAUUUACUAUCCUGUUUCUAUUACUACUGUAGUUGCUUUUCUAUUACGACAUAUACCUAUCUGUUGUUCUAUCUCCUUUGUUUUUCAGUGAAUACAAUUUGCCUUCGCGGCUGUCGUACCUACUGGAAAACCUUGUUGUGGUUUCUCACCCCCCCAUUUCCCGAGGUGGCACGAGCAAGGAGUUGGUUCUUGGUGCGAUGGGAGGAUGUCCUAGCUAGGCUGCAUUAGCGGUCGUCACCCUGAUUAUUUUUCUUUCCGCAUUUAGUAGUUUAAAUAAUGAAAUGGUUCAGUUAGAUGAUCAUUGUUAUUGCUUGAAUAAUCAUGAAAUUGUAUUGAAUUGGUGUUUUCUAUUAUGCAUGCAAUCGGAGUUUUAUGAAUUUUCAGCACGUGGAUUUAUGGAUUCACGCCUUGUGGUUUUCUACCUCUCGAGGUAGGCGGUUUUCAAAGAUUGAGUUUUCGUAUGGAAAACAGUUUUAAAAGGGUUAAGAAUGGUUUUUAUGGAUGAACAAUUAGAGUUUAAAAGAAAACAAAGCUUCCGGGUGGGGAGCAUUUUUAAAUAAGAUGAUUGUUGUAUUGUGCAGCACAUCAUCUAGUGCCUUAGGAGUGUUUAGAGACAUACAUAAUUUCUAAGAAAGGUUAGUUGUAUGGAGAUGCAUCGCAUUGAUUGUUUGUAGAUUGAUAAAUGUAGGUUGUAAGUUGUGAUCUUGUUGAUGUUGUUGUUGUGUACGCCAUGCAAAUAUAAAGGAAACUUUAUCCGUGUGGGCAAAGAAACAUGUAUUUGUGACGGGUCUGUAUGUCACAUGGGCCAGAUUAUUUCAAAAAAAAAAUUUUCGCUAAUUUGAUUUGUAAAAAAGACUAUUUUAGGCCCCGGGGCGUGAUAUCGAACCUGUGAAUCAAAAAUAUGAAGCGGCAAGAAAAAGUAAAAGAAGUUAGUCGAAAUAAAAAAAAUGAGUCAGGGAAGAAAAGAAAAGAGUUCGAGUGUACCGCCAUGGGGCACGGAGAAGCAACUGCUCCCUUGUUAGAGCCUUCACUUGAGGCCUCAUAUUUCUGGAGACUCAACCAUAAUCUCCUUACCCUCGGAAAUGCUGGUUAAAGCGAAGUAGAUUAAAUCAAGAUAAAUUAAGAAGGGAAAAUGCAAAAGAGAAGGAAUCUAAAAAUAGGAAAUACCUUCUACCUGAUCAAAAUCAAAGCGGCUGAGGCGAUUCAAAAAGGGCAAUGCGAACAACACUUGUUUACUAUCAAUUUUUUGACCUUUGGAUGCUUAGAAUUUUGUCGGGUUUGGUGCAAUAAUAACAAUUCAAUGGUAGAAAAAUUAAUAAUAAAUACUAUUUAUAUACUAUUGAUAAUAAUAGGUAAAACUCUUUAUAGAAUGUAUACAUUUUUAAAUGACAAAAAAAUAUGAAAAAAUAAAAUAGUUUUUCAUUUAUUUUUCAUAGAAAUCAAAUAAAUAGAACGCUAAAAAAUAUAUAUUUUUUCCUACCAAUUAAACAUCAAAAUUUGUAAAAUCAUAUUUUCACUGAAGAUAUAAUUUUUUUCAAAAAUAUUUUAUCAUAAUUUUAAAUAGGACCAAACAAAUCCACUAUAUUAGAUACACUUAAAUUAAUUAUAUAUUAUUAUUAUUAUGUAUGCCAUAUAGAAUAGUAGAGUGUGAGAAUCAAGAACUAUGAUAAUUUUAUAUUGAAGUAUUUGGUAAGAUAUUGGAUUUUUUUUUUAUAUUUAGCUCCAUCAAUUUUUUUUUAAAUGGUCCUAAUAAAUUUAUAUUUACAUAAAUAGUUUUCUCUUUAUCGUGCGAGCACCUAAAUGGCAUUUUUAAGUUGAACACGGCGAUUCAAUCACAGUAGUUAAACAUAAUAAUUGGAUCACCGUAUUUUUUUUUGUAUUUUUUUUAUUAUUCAUAAGUCAAAAAAAUGGACUAAGGUGUAAAUUUGAACACGGUGAUUUAAUCACGGUGUUUAACUUAAAAUUCUCAGUGAGACACUCACGUAAUAAUAAGAGGAUCAAUAUACAAAUAUAAAUUUAUUAGUGUCAUUUAUAAAAAAUAAUUUUUGAUGGGGUUAAAUGUAAAAAAAGUUCUAAGAAAUUAUUAUCUCCCGAUAAAAGGGUAUUGUUUUGCAUGGUUCAACUUUCAUUUUCCACCCACGUCUGUCUCGAGAAGUUUCCGACCGAGAAUAGAUCCAGAAACUUUUGUACCAACCCCCGCCGACUAAUAGUCUCCAGAAACGCCGAGGAGCAAACGGGUAGAGAGAGAAAGCUAUAUAUAUAUAUAUAUAUAUAUAUAUAGAGAGAGAGAGAGAGAGAGAGAGAAAGAGAGAGAGAGAGAGAGAGGGAAAAGGACAGAUAAUAGAGAAAGAGGAGAUGGCGGCGUCGGCGGAGGGAGAGGGUGCGAAGGCGAAGGCGAAGGCGAAGGCGAAGAGGUCGAUGGUGGCGAUCGACGAGAGUGAGUGCAGCAAUUACGCCCUCAGGUGGGCUCUCAGCAACCUCCGCGAAGCCAUCUCCUCUUCCCCUCUCGUCAUCUUCAACGCCCAGCCCUUCGCCACCGCCGGCUACAUGACCGCCGCAGCCUACGGGGCACCUCGUAAGCACGCAAUACAUAAACCGACUACUGUUACUCUUCUCUUCUUCAAAUUAAACUAACAUCCGUCUAAUUAAUAAUCUAUUCUAAUUUUAUACGAUGCAUGAACCCUGGUUUUUUUCUUUUUCCUUUUUUCCCUUCCAUUUUUCUUUCUUUCUUUCUUUUUUCAUUUUUCUUUUACAUUUUAUUUUAUUUUAUUUUUUAAUAUUAUAUAUUUAUAUUUUAGCCCAUUAAAUCUAAUAAUACUAUUUUAUUUUAGUCAAUUAUAUUUAGUAAUAAUUUUUUUAAUUAAUAGGAUAUUGUGUGUGUAUAUGUAUGUGUGUGUAUAUAUAUAUAUAUAUAUAAAAUAAAAUAAUAAUAUUAAUACCUCAUAUGAAAGCCCCGGACCGGUUCGCUCCAAACUUUUUCUUUUUUUCUUUUUUUACAUUGUAUUUUACUCAAUUAAAUUGAGUAAUUGAAUUCAAUAAUUGAAUUCAGUAAUUGAAUUCAGUAAUUGAAUUAAAUUGAGUAAAAUAGAAAAUAUAAUUAUUCAAUUUAAUUUAGGGGGAUAGGAUAUAUAAAAAUAAAUUACACUGCUUUACUUGUGGCAGCACAGAACAUUUUGCAAAACACAUGUUCUAAAAGACAAAAUAGAAGAAAUAGAAAUGCCUUAGUAGUGGAAGAAACUCAAAAACACUUAUUAGCUGUAGAUAAAUAUAUAUCCGACACAGAAUCAAUAUAUUCUAUUAUAGAAACUUAUGAUAAAGAAGAUUCUUCAUCAGAUGAAGAAAGUGAUCUUAUAACGGAAAUAUCAAAUGAGCAUAAUUUAGUUAGGUUUGAUUCAUUAAAUCAUUUAAACUUUGUUAAUUUUACUUUAAUGAAUACAGAUUGUAAUCAUAAUUGGGAAGUAGGAAUGUGAAUUUGAUACUCUGCCAUGUAUAUAAUGUAAAGGAUAUCCAGAUAAAAAUGUUAGAUGUAAAUGUAAACAUUGUUAUAUAGAAGCAUGUAUAAUGUGUGUAGAAGCCAAGUUUAAAAUAACCUUUAGUAAAUCUGUAGCCAUGACAAAUUUCUCAUAUGACCAAAUAUUUACUUUAGAAAAAAGAGUAAUGGGUUUAGAAGCAAGAAUUACAUUUUUAGAAAAAUGAAAACAUAUUUCCUUAGAUAAAGGCAAAGGUAUAGUUAUUAAUGAAGAAAAUGAAGUAACCUUAGGAAAUAUAGAGAAUGAUUAUGAAAAAUAUAGAAUAAUAGAACGUAGUUAUAUUUGUAACCGAGGACAGAGCCUUAGAAGUAUCUCCGUAGCUUCUAAAAUUAAGAUAGGCACCCAUAUAGCAGAUACAACUGCUUUAAUAGGCACCCUCUGUCUUUUUUAAUUAAAACAUAGUUAUUUUUUUUUUAUUUUUUUUUAAAAAAAUUAAACUUUUUUUUCUUUAUAAAUUAAACUUUUUAAUUUACUUUUCCUGUGACACCCCAAUAAUCCCACAUCGGAUGGAAAUGGGGUUGUCAUUGGGUUUAUAAGAGACUUAGACACUAGUAAUAAUAACUGGGCUUAAGCAUUUUGGGCCGGUGGUUGGGCCNNNNNNNNNNNNNNNNNNNNNNNNAAAAAAAAAAAUUUAUAAGCCGCUGUAAGGACUGAGACUUUUGCAGUGUAGCUAAACUCUCAGUUGACGAUGUUUUUGUGUGUAAUUUAAUUACAAAAGCACUCGUCAAGUUUUGGGAGAAAUCGAGUUAAAACGGAGAUUCUACGCGAUUUCCAAGUUCUACUUAAAGUGAAUAGUAACUUGGUUUUCCGGAGAGCUCAAUGCGUAAAGCUGGCUUCUGGCUCGUAUCGGACUCCGUUCAUAGCGGUCCAAUAGCUCGUUUCGACCGGUUCAGCUGUUCUGGAACUAGUGGCGCUGACGGAUUUUGAGUUUGAUGCACGGAUUUCGAGAAAAUCCAAAAAUACAUGUUUUAUAUGUAAUUGUGCGUAGUUCUUCUAUUGGAGAGUUGGAACGGUUCUUGUCGCGAAUCCGCGACCGAUCGAGAUGAACCAAAAUGGUAGCUUUGUUGUCUCCAUGGUGCUGAUCGCACUGGUGUAAUCCGUUCGCAAAUCUGACGGACGGAUCUGCGGAGAUCGCACGUUGAUCGAGAAGAGGUCGGUGUAGGAAAAACGGUAAUUUCGCAAAAGUCGCGACAUUUUAUGUACCGUUUUGCGUGAGAUCGCACGUGGAAGGGUGUUCUCGCGUUUCACACGCGCUGUGAGGGACUCAGUAUCAAAUACUGAAGUUUGAGAGGCUUUUCCGCAAUUUGCACCUUAUAUAUAUAUUAUAUCUAGGGUUUUGCAAUGGAAACUCUAACCCUAGACCAUAGCCGCACCCCAGCCACUCCAUCUACCUCCCCUGCCCUUGCUGCGCCACCCCCGGCCGUCGCCGACUGAGCCCCGGCCGGCCAACCGCUGCCGCAGCCACCACAUUCCUCUCUCUCCAUCUCUCUCUCCAUCUCUAUCUCUUUUUCUCGAGUUGGGGGCAAGCCCGAGGUUGCUCUUCUCUCUGCCGCUUCCCCUAGAGUCCAAGUGUCCCUCCCAGCCGGUCGCCGCCGCCUGCCGCCGUCGCUGAGCGCGGCAGCCGCGUCGUUGCCACCCUGCAACCGGCUUGGCCGAGCUCAGGCCGAGCUUGGUUGCAUCAGCUGCCCGCGCCCCGCUACCGCCUGAGAUCGCUCCCGCCGCCGUCCCCGGGGUCUCGGCAACCUUCCCCGCCGGUCACCGCCGCCGCUGUGGGCCGCCGCCGCCGCCUCGGCCAUCCGCAGCCGCCCCAGACCCGCUCGGGCCAAGGCAAGCACACGACUCCUUCCCGGCGCCGCCGCCGCUCGGGGCCGCACCCGAGGUACCUCUCCGGCCUCCUGCAACCAUCCUUCGCCGUCCCGGAGCUCCUCGGCCGCCGCUGUGGCCGCCAUUGCCCGUGGAACCCGAGGCUUUGCACGUGCGGGCUGAGCUUGCUUCCCCGACGCCGCCGUCGCUCCCCGCCGCCAACUGAGGUGAGCAUCGUGUUCCUCACCUCCCCCGCAGCCAUCCCUGGCCGUCGCGCGUGCCUCCGUGCCGCCGGAAGCCGGCCGGAGCGAGCUUGCUUCGGCCAAGCCCGAAAUAGGGCUUAGUUUGGAUGGUUUACUGUUCCGAGCAACCCGAGCCUCCCCGAUCUCUGCGGAAGGGAGCACGAUGAUUGUAGCAAAUUUCUGAUCAUCGUGCUCACCUUAGUUUCUGUUGGGGAGACUCCGUUCCUCUGUUUCGGCGGUGUCGACCCUGUCGAGCCUUUUUGGCUGCUGUUUUGGGUUUGCGCACACUUAUCCGGAGAUUCGAGACUGUUCCGAUGCCUCCGGAGGUGAGCACGGUGAUCGUUGGUCAGUUCUGAUCACAGUACUCACCUUACUUUGGAUCAGAGGAUGUCGUAUCGGCCUGUUUGGCGUGAUUUUCCCCGACUGCGCGCUGUUCACUGAACCUUUGGUUUGCUCCCGCGCUUUCCACAGUGAGCCUUUGUGCUCCAGAUCAUGAGCACGGUCUCCGGUGCGUCGAGACCUGUCAGUACGUGUCACGGCGGACCUCGAAAGUCCUCAGUUUGUGUGAACGAGCUAUGUUAUCGCCCGUUUACAUAAAAUAUUGGGAUUUUAUGUAAAUAUAGGGGCUUUUGUGCAAUUGUGCGCCUUGUGGCUACUGUGGGCAAUGUAUAAGUGUGUGGGGACCUUUGGACUGAUUGUCCAUGAUCUGUUAGCGUUUGCAGAAAUCGAAGAGUUGAUUUUGAUGCGUUUUGCGGCGAAAUUCGCCGAAAGAACGCGGUUUCGGUUCGGAUUUCUUCCGACGUCGUUUGGUUGCUCUGUGAGUAGUCGCUAAGCCUUGUUGGCUGGUCACCAUCACCACAUUGUGGGUUCGGUGAUGACGGGUGAGCGACGGUGGGUUCCGGUGUCGAAUUUGACACUUUCGGGAACCCAUGUUCGUACAAUUAUUCGGCGAUAAUUGUGUAGUGGUGUUAUCUUGUGUUUGCUGCCAAGACACCCAAAUUGGUGUGUUUUGUGGCAGCAAAUGACUCGUGGUACGAGUCGGUGAGUUUCGGGACACUUAGUGGGUCCCGACGGCGUUCCGGUGUGGUUUUCGGGACUUUCGGCGAAUUACGGUAAUCGGUAUUGGGAAACCGAUCUUCGUGAAAUUGUUUGUGGGGUUGUGGAUACUGUGGUUAUUAGUUGUGUGGGUUAGAUACUAACCCGGUGGACCCUCUAUAGGUCCUGUCGACAUUUUUUUUGCAGUCAGGAGACUGACGCGACAUCCUUACAGAUGGGUACUUCGAUCCGACGUCGGUACAGUGGUGCACGCUUGGUGACGGUUUCUUACCCUUACUCUUCUGUUGUUACUAUUGCAUAGUAAAUAUACUCUACUCGUUGUUUGCAUGCUUAGUACCCUGAGUAGGAGUAGAGUAGUUCUAUCUACAUGCGUAUCUGUUGACCUAGUUGGUCUGUAGUUGCAUUCAGUAUCUGUUUAUCUAGUUGGUCGGUUGUUGCAUUUCGUAUCUAUUGACCUAGUUGGUCUGUUGUUGCAUUCAGUAUCUGUUGAUCUAGUUGGUUGGUUGUGCAUUCCGUAUCUGUUGACCUGGUUGGUCGGUUCUCGUACUUCGUAUCAGGGACCUUGUUGGUCAGUUGGACUCUGUGGACCUUGGGUCUAGGCAACACAUCGACUCUCUUGUCAUGUGUUUCGAUCUGGUUGAUCGUGGUUUAGCGUUGUACGCCUUUGUUUCUGGCUUCGGCCUUGGCACCGGCUUUAGUCGGAUUUUGUUUGAGCAUAUCAGCAUGAUUUAGUCACAGCACUGUGUAUUCUAGACACCAGGUUGGUUUGGCCACCAACAAGAGGUGUACGUAUCCGGAUAAGUCGUCGGUGACGCAUGAAUAAGCUCUCAGUGUUUGCUCUGUGACAGGCAACGCUUGAGGUCUGCGGACCAAUAUAGCAGCAUCAGAUUGGGUAUAUUUGGACUUAUCGUCUGGUUGACGCAUAUAACUAUAGUAGCAGUUGUCGCUUGUAUAUCUUCAGCUCUUUCAUUACAUUGUCUUGCUACUAUAGUCUUGUUACAUGUAUACAUUCAGUUGUUCAUUACAGUAGCGGUAGUUGUACUUUCUUUCAUAUAUAUGCCUCUUUCAUUCAUUAUUAUUGCUACUGUAUUUUCUACUGACCCGUACUAUUGUUUAGCUCUUCCUGAUCCGGUGAGUACUCCUCGCCUUCAUCGGCUUGCGGUACCCACUGGGAGGGGAGACAUGUUUACAUGUUCUCACCUCCCCNNNNNNNNNNNNNNNNNNNNNNNNNUGGGAAGUUGGGGCGUCACAAAUAGUUAUCAGAGCAAUUACCAGCAGGAAGUGUAGAUGAGUUCGCGGCUGAGCCAGGUCUGAAUGACAGGCAGCGAGAUGAGUCUCACCGCCUGGUAUUUGUGAGUCUGAGCCUGACGAGGACGUCAGGGCAUAAAGGAGGGAGAUUGUGAGACCCUGGAUAGUCCUAUAUAUAAGAUAAUAAUAGGGCUAAACUCUUAACCCGGCUUAAGCAUUUUGGCUGGUGUUGGGCCCAACGAGUUAUUAUUGCUAGUGGGCUGGAUCGUUAUAUUUGGUUUCAGAGCGGCUUCACCAGCUGGACAUGUGUGGCGAGUCUCGCGCUGAGCCAGGGUCUGAAUGACGCGGCUAGCGAGACGAGUCUUCACAUUAGCCUGGUGAUCUUGGGCUGUGUGUGGUUUGGAUGACGAGGACGUCAGGGCCUUAACGGGGGGAGUCUGUGACAGCCCAAUAAUCCCAUCGGAUGAAAUGGGGUUGUAUUGGGGUUUAUAAGAGACUUAGACACUAGUAUAUAACUGGGCUUAGCAUUUUGGGCGUGGUUGGGCCUAACGAGUUUAUUAUGCAUAGUGGGCCUGGGUCGUUACAUUUGGUAUCAGAGCCGGUUCACCAGCUGGAAUGUGUGGCGAGUCGGCUGAGCCAGGUCUGGAUGACGGCUAGCGAGACGAGUCUCACAUCACCUGGUACUUGUGAGUUUGAGCCUGACGAGGACGUCAGGCCUUAAAGAAGGGGAGAUUGUGAGACCACAGAAUAGUCCUAAUAUGAGAUAUAUUAGGCUAAACUCUUAACCCGGCUUAAGCAUUUUGCGGCUGGUGGUUGGGGCCAACGAGUUUAUUUAUUGCUAGUGGGCUGGGUCGUUAUAUUUGGUAUCAAGCCAGGCGUACAGCUGGACAUGUGUGGCGAGUCUCGGCUGAGCCAGGGUCUGGUGACGGGCUAGCGAGACGAGUUCUAACAUAGCCUAGUGAUCUUGGGCUGUGUGAGAUUGGACUAACGAGGACGUCAGGGCCUUAACGGGAGUUGUGCACCCAAUAGUCCCACAUCGGAUGGAAUGGGAUUGUCAGCAAGCAACGACUGAGUGGAGAGUCAGAGUCGAAAAGAGGAUUCCUCACUUCUUCUCUCAUUCAAAACCGUGCAUUUCCAUUCCGGAGCAUCUAAUCCUAAGUUUCCUUAGGUUUAUAGGCAGACUUAGACACUAGUAAAUAAUAACUGUUAGGCAACACCGGCCCAAAUGCUUAAGCCCAGUUAUUAUUACUAGUGUCUAAGCUUUUAUAAAACCAAUGACACCCCAUUUCCAUCCGAUGUGAGGAUUAUUUGGCGUGUCACAGGAAAGUAAAUUAAAAGUUUAAUUUAUAAAAAGAAAAAAAAGUUUAAUUUUUUUAAAAAAUAAAAAAAAAAAAUAACUAUGUUUUAAUUAAAAAGACAGGGGUGCCUAUUAAAGCAGUUGUAUCUGCUAUAUGGGUGCCUAUCUUAAUUUAGAAGCUACGGGAAUACUUCUAAGGCUCUGUCCUCGGUUACAAAUAUAACUACGUUCUAUUAUAUUAUAUUUUUCAUAAAUCAUUCUCUAUAUUCCUAGGUUACUUCAUUUUUUCAUUAAUAACUAUAACUUUUGCCUUUAUCUAAGGAAAUAUGUUUUCAUUUUUCUAAAAUGUAAUUCUUGCUUCUAAACCCAUACUCUUUUUUCUAAGUAAAUAUUUGGUUAUGAGAAAUUUGUCAUGGCUAUCAGAUUUACUAAAGGUAUUUUUAAACUUGGUUACUACACACAAUUAUACAUGCUUCUAUAUAACAAUGUUUACAUUUACAUCUAACAUUUUAUCUGGAUAUCCUUUCAAUAUAUCAUGGCAGAGUAUCAAAUUCAAUUCCUAUCCCAAUUUAUGAUUACAACUGUAUUCAUUAAAGUUAAAAUUAACAAAGUUUAAUGGAUUUACGUGAAUCAAACCUAACUAAAUUAUGCCAUUUGAUGUAUUUCCGUAUAUACAGGAUCACUUUUUAUUGAUGAAGAUCUUCUUUAUCAUAAGUUUCUAGUUAACUAGAAUAUUAUUGGGGGGGGGGGGGGGGGCGGGGGGGGAUUCUGUGUCGGAUUAGUAUAUUGAUCUUACAGCUAAUAAGUGUUUUUGAGAUUGAUCUCACUACUAGAGCCAUUCUUAUUGUCUUCUAUUUUGUCUUUUAACAUGUGUUUUGAUAAUGUCUGUGCUGCCACAAGUAAAUGCCAGUGUAUAUUAUUUUUAUAUAGUCCUAUCCCUAAAUUAAUUGAUAAUUUUAUAUUUCUAUUUACUACAUUUAAUUCAUUACGUGAAUUCAAUUACUAGAAUUCAAUUAUUGAAUUCAAAUAACUCAAUUAAUUGAGUAAAUACAAUCAGUAAAAAAGAAAAAAAAGAAAAGUUUGGAGGAACCGGUCCGGGGUCAUCAGUAUGAGGUAUUUAAUAUUAUUAUUAUUUAUUUAUAUAAUAUAUAUAUAAUAACACACCAUAUAUACACACACAUAUAUCCUAUUAUAUAAAAAAAUUAUUACUAAAUAUAAUGGACUAAAAUAAAAUAGUAUUAUUAGAUUUAAUAGGGCUAAAUAUAAAUAUAUAAAUAUUAAUAAACAUAAAAUAAAAUAAAAUGUAAAAGAAAAUGAAAAAAGAAGAAAGAAAGAAAAUGUGGAGGAAAAGGCGAAAGGAAAAAACACCAGGUUUAUGCUCGUAUAAAGAUUAGAAUGAAUUAAUUAGACGGAUGUUAGUUUAAUUUGAAAGAAGAGCAGAGUAACAGUAGUCGGUUUAUGUAUUGCUGUUACGAAGGUGCCCGAUAGCUGCGGCGGUCAUCUUGUAGCGGCGAGUGGCGAAGGGGCUUGGGCGUUGAGUGACGAGAGGGGAGAGGAGAUGGCUUCGCGGAGGUUGGCUAGGAGAGCCACAUCUGAGGCGUAAUUGCCUGCAUCACUCUCGUCGUCGCCACCCAUCGACCUCUUCGACCUUCGCCUUCGCCUUCGCCUUCGACCUCUCUCCCUCCGCGACGUCGGCCAUCUCCUCUUUCUCUAUUAUCUGAUCCUUUUCCUCUCUCUCUCUCUCUCUCUUUAUCGCUCUCUCGUCUCUCUCUUCUCUAUAUUAUAUAUAUAUAUAUAUAUAUAGCUUAUUCUCUCUACACCGUUUGCUCCUCGGCGUUUCUGGCAGACUAUUAUGUCGGCGGGGGUUGGCUACAAAAGUUGUCUGAUUAUUCUCGGUCGCGAAACUUCUCGAGACGACGUGGGUGGGAAAAUGAAAGUUGAACAUGCAAAACAAUACCCUUUUAUCGGCGACAGAUAAUAAAUUUCUUUAGAACCUGUGUUUUACAUUUAACCCCAUCAAAAAUUAUUUUUUAUAAAUGACACUAAUAAAGUUAUAUUAUGUAUAUUGAUCUCUUAUUACUUACGUGCAGUGUCUCACUGAGAAUUUUAAGUUAAAACACCGAUGCAUUAAAUCACCGUGUGUUAAUAUUUACACCUUAGUCCAGUUUUUUGACUUAUGAACUAAUAAAAAAAUACAAAAAAAAAUACCGGUGAUCAAUUAUUAUAGUUUAACUUACCUGUGAUUGAAUCGCCGUGUUCACUUAAAAUGCCAUAUUUAGUGCUCGUCACGAUAAAGAGAAACUAUUUAUUGCUAAAUAUAAAUUUAUUAGGACAUUUUAAAAAAAAAUUGAUCGACGCUAAAUAUAAAAAAAAUCCAAUAUCUUACACAAUACUUCAUAUAAAUUAUCAUAGUUCUCUGUUGUCUCCACUCUACUAUUCUAUAUGGCAUACAUAAUAUAUAAUACUUAAUUAUUAAGUCGUAUCUAUUAGCUGGAGUUUGUUUGGUCCUUAUUUAAAUUAUGAUAAAAUAUUUUUUGAAAAAAUUAUAUCUUUCAGUGAAAAUAUGAUUUGACAGAAUUUCUAUGUUUAAUUGGUGAGGCAAAAAUAUAUUUUUUUAGCGUUCUAUUUUUUGAUUUUCUAUGAAAAAUAAUGAAAACUAUUUUAUUUUUUCGGAUAUUUUUUGUCAUUUAAAAAUGUAUAUUCUAUAAGAGAUUUUACCUAUUAUUAUCAUAGUAAUAAUAUGUAUUUAUUAUUACUUUCUAUACAUUGAUUGAAUGUUAUUAUCACCACCGACACAAAUUCUAAGAAAACAUCCAAAGGCUCAACAAAAUAUAGGUAAAACAAGUGUUUGUUCGCAAUUGCCUUAUUUGCAAUCGCCUCAGCCGCUUUAUUUUGAUCAGGUAGAAGGCUAUUUCCUAUUUUUAGUUCCUCUCUUUUGCCUUUUCCCUUCUAUUAAUUUAUAUCUGAUUUAAUCUACUUCCGUUAAGCCACAUUUCAGGAAGAGUAAGGAGAUUUGUUUGAGUCUCGAAUCAUGAGGCACUCAAGUGAAGGCUCUAACAAGGCGGCGCGGGGGGAGAGCAGUUUGUUCUCCGUGCCCAUGGCCAGUUACACUCGUAACUCUUUCUUUUCUUCCCUGACACUAUUUUUUUUAUUUCGAGCAUAACUUCUUUACUUUUUCUUGCCGCUUCAUAAUUUUGAUUCCAAGCUUCGAUAUUCACGCCCCGGGGCCUUAAAAUGUCUUUUUUACAAAAUCAAAUUACGCGAAAUAUUUUUUAUUUUGAAAUAAUCUGGCGCCCAAUGCUGUUAACAUACAGAACAGUCCAAAUACAUGUUUCUUUGCCCACAGGAUAAGUUUCCUUCGUAUCAUUUGACAUGCGAUACACAACAAACAGAAUCGAACCAAGAUCACAAAUUACAACUACAUUUAAUCAAUCUACAAACAAUCAAUGCGAUGCAUCUCUACAACUAACCUUUUCUUAGAAAUAUGUAUUCUCUCAAACACUCUAAGGCAUAGAUGAUGUGUGCACACUACAACAACAUCCUUAUUUAAAAAUGCUCCGACCGGAAGCUUGUUUUCUUGAUUAAACUCUAUUGUUCAUCGCAUAAAAACCAUUUUACCCUUUUAAAACUGUUUUACCUACGGAAAACUCAAUCUUUGGAAAAGCCUACCUCGAGAGGUAGAAUAGACCACAAGAGUGAAUCCAUAAAAUCAACGUGCAUGCAACAUAAUUCAUAAGACUCGUUCGAUUGCAUGCAUAAUGAGAAAACACCAAUUCUACAAAUUUCAUCAUGAUUAUUAAGCAAUAACAAUGAUCAUUUUCUAAACUGAACACAUUUCAUUAAUUUAAAAAACUACUAAAUGCAGGAAGAAAAAUAAUCAGAGGUGAACGACCGCCUAAUGCAGGCAGCAUAGGACAUCCUCCCAUCGCGCACAACGACCAACUCUUGCUCGUGCCACUCGGGAAAAUGGGGGGGUGAGAAACCACACAGGUUUUCCAAGUAGGCUACGACAGCCGCGAGGCAAUUGUAUUCACUGAAAAACAAAGGAGAUAGAACAACAGAUAGAGUAAUAUGUACGUAAUAGAAAAGAACUUACAGUAGUAAUAGAAAACAGUCGAUAGUAAUCAUGGGGCAAGAGAAACCCAAACCAAUACUAAUAACAAAAUUUUCAACUGAACAGAUGCCUAAUAGGAUAAAAUAAUCCAAAGUUCAAACCCAUCUAUGCCUACCAUUAUUGUGUCUCGCAAAUCUUUAAUUUUGCCUGUCACAAUGCAUACAUAUAUACUAACCUUGAUUACACGCGUCCAUCAUGGCGAGCAUCUGGAUAAGUACACCCUGAGUCGCGAUUACGCGAAAGCCGACCUAGGUCCUAGAAUACACACAGUGUGUGUAAUACACUGGAUCUUAAAGCAGAAUCGCAAGAUUCGACGUGUUUGAUUGAUGUUUGGAGCAGUUCCUCACAGUUUUAUGGAAGGUCGAUUGAUAGUGUCCGACCCCUGGCCACGAUCCGAGGAUGUUGGAGUGGACUUAGGCACCAAAUCCAAAGAAUCGAAUUCUUGACAGCUCUCGGGCACCUGCCAGCAGCGCUUACCGGAACAAAGACUGGCCUAGUACCGGUAAAGGUGUGGAUGGUUGUACCGGUACAGCCAUCGGGCGUACGGUAAGAGCGAGACCCGCGCACCCCGAGCCUCGGCGUUGCAUUGUUUGGUCCGGACCUUGUACCGGGUACCAAGAGCCCGUGUACCUUACAAGGGAGGCAGUUUUGUGCAGUUUGAUCUGCAGACGAGGGUUUCGCCGGUUGUGCGGCUUUUUAAUAACAGCACCCACACCCCUUAGGACUUUUUUUGUGCUGAACCAGAGGGAGGCAAGGAUGUAGUGAAGCUCACCUUGGUACCCACUUGCAUUUUGAUCUCCAUUUUUGCUUGGUUUUUUGAAUGAAAUUCUUUCUUCUCUUUUGCCCUUUUGGUGCCAUUUCACCAUGGAAUGAAAGCUCAGCUUUGGCGAUUUGGAGCUAGUGCACAGGAUGGAUCUUGGGCAUUUAAAGGAUUUAGAGCUUGAUUUGAAGCUUCUAAGAGGUAAAGAUUACAUUAUCUUCCUCUAGAUUUGAGUUUUUAAUGGAUUUUCAUGGAUGAAACCCUAGAGUUGUUUUUUUGGAUAUUAGGUUUAAUUUUCGGUAUUUUGAAUCUAGGUCUUUUGAAGCUAGAUUGAGUGGAAUUAGAGGCUUCCAUUAGGUUGGUUGGAUGAGCACUAGCGCUUCAUUUUGGAGCUUUAGAGGAGACUUUGCUAGAGGUGAGUUUUCCUCACCUAUGCCUUUGAUUAGCUUAAUGUUGUGAAGCUUAGGUAUUGUUCGUUUCAUGGCUCGUAUGACACAUGUUUCUAUACCUCUAGGGACUAGCAGAGACUAAGAGGACACCCUCGUGGGAGCGCUACGAGGAGUUUCAGUAGUCCCGGUGGGUUGGCUUCGUGGAAAUGGACCGCGAAAUGGGCCCUAUGCUCUUUCUAACUUUUGAAAAUAUCCUUUAAAUGUCAUUUUCUUUAUGGCAAAUGAGAAUAUAUGUGAAUUUUUAGAGCAUCUCAAAUGCCAUGUCUUGUGUUAUAUGAAAUUUCACGAUAUUAGUAGAGUAUAUGAGUAGAUGCAUGCCAUACUGAGAAAAAGUGUUUAUUUUGACAGUGAAAAAUAACUCUGAGAGCGAUGUAAUGACUUGGAUAUGUACUUUGGAACAUAGUUUAGCCAAUGCUUUGACAUAGGAAAUAAGGUGUUCAUAAAGCAGGCAACUUGAAAACUGGUAAGCUAUGGAAGAACUGCAACUAGAACAUAUUGUAAGCCCAUUACAUAUCUGGCUAUAUUUUGAGGACAUGAUGGACAUAGGGAGAGCGCCAUUGGGGAUACUUGACACAUUCCAUGUUAUUAGACAUGAGACUUGAGUACUUGCUACAGGAUCGUUUGACUACUUGCAUUGGUGCUCAUUCGCCCAAACAAAAAAAAUGCUUAUGAGGCGUCGCUCCCUACAAGCGGCACUCGGAGAUGGCCAUCUCGAUUCAUAUUCGACCUGCGGGAUGGCGCGCGAAGCUGGAAUUGCCGAAUGGGACAGGGCUCAUUCCAUAGGGUGGGAGAUGAUGGAUUACCACGCGGGCCAUUAGGCUCGGCAACCGGCCAGACAGCUACGGUGGGUCGGGCCAUAGCAGCGAUUCGGGAGUGGCGUUUCUCUAUUCAAUUUGACUUUUAAUAUUCCAUUAUGACAUGUGGACAAGAAUGAGCCGACUUAGUGUACACUGGCCAAAUUGACCUAGAAUAGGUAAACACGCGAACUUUACUAUUUCACAUGUGAACAUUCGAGAUGAUAGUAUGGAGAACUUUUACUUCAUGCAUAAGUUGUUUCAGACUUAUGUAUUUGAUCGCCUAAAGUAGCAGAUAUCAGAUGUAUGUAGUAAGUUACAUUUUAAUUACCUUUCGCCUGUCUACUUUUAUAGUCACUGGAAUCUUUUGCUAGCUUUUGGCUUGUGGUGCAUUCACUGAAGUCAAGUAAUUGCCAACUGGGAACUAUUUUUAAUAAGUUCUCCACGCCCACGUUUUAUGGUUUACUUUUCAGAGCCUUCCGCACCAGGCGGAGGCACGAGAUCGCGGCAAGGUGUUGCGUUAGUAGCUAGCUCGGCGGAAGAGUUCUUUUGCGAUACGGUGGUUACUCCUCCAUUUUAUUUUUGAGAGAUGCGAGGCUUUUGUAUCAAUGUAUAAGAGACCACCUGUGUAACCUACUAUAGCACUUGUAUUUUGGCGAUCCCCAUGGUACUUACUUAUGUUUAUUUAGGUGGUAUUUCAGUUUCAUCCUUAUUCCUUGUUGCCUUACAUUUAGAACAUUUAUGUAUGCUCUAAUACACCAGUAGAUGUCUUUUAUAUGCUUGAUUAUUAUUGUUUUUAGACGGCCUUAUUGCGUUUAUAGACGUUAUGAGCGGGUCUGGGCACGUGCCGGCGGGACUUCGCUGGGUCCGGGGCGUGACAGAUUAAUUUUGGUAUCAGAGGAGGUGCCUAGGGUUGAGUCUUAGGAACCUAGCAAAACGUUAGGCCGGUUGGACUAUAGGAAAUAGGCUCGUGAGAGAACCGAGGUCUAUUGAUUUCGUAAGCGAAAGUAUCUAGAAUUGGUAUCUUGAAUAACUCCUAGAAAUGAGUUAAUGAAGUUGUAUACUCCUAACUUCGCGGAGGGUUACGUUGGCGGGCUGAACAACGUAAAAUCGGGAGUUAGUAGAUGUAGAACAUUCCUUACUUUUCGCAAUGAUUUGGGGUUUGUCUUUUGAGCGGGGAUGCAUCGGAUAGCGGGUUUUUGUUUACUAACUUGACGCUUUUAUGAUGUUGUGUGACGAUACCGGAUACUCGCUCCCAAUCUGCCGGAAUAGCGGGACAAUGCCGGCAAAUUACCGAGGAGGUUGAUGAUGCCCUCCGCUACUCCGAGAUCCAGCGAGACGUCCGCUGGAGAUCGAAUGGGCCGCAGCUUGCGGCCCUCAAUGUAAUUUGGAUCACCGCAGCAGCGGAGGCAGGACCCGACAGCAACGACGGCGCGCGACAAGGAGCCGCUGUAUGAAGCGUCUCUAGAGGACCUACCUAAUUGCCGCAGACAGCAGUUCCAGGAAAACUAGGGCUACCGCGAUGCACCAUGUUGUGGACGUUGACCGAGAAGGGCGUCGUCCCCCGGCGCCCAGUUCUUCGCGGUGCGGCGGCCUGCGGGCCGCACCCCCAGGAGGAAGUUUUAGAUUAAGCACCGCCUGUGCAGAGGCCCCAGUUGGAAGCAGAUUCCCUGAUGCGUUGAGCGGGGUCGGAGCCGGCGAUAGAAUUGCAUGAGAGCGCACUCAAUGAGUUCAGGAGGUGCAGCCCCGAAGUCGUUCGACCGGCCGAGAAGAGUCGACAGCGGAGCGUGGAGAAGUGAGUUUGAUGAUAUGGAGAAGCUCUUGCCGCGACACGUUUCGGGAGAGAGGAUCGAGUUGGCUCGCCAACUCACACUUUGGACGGCGAGGCCUAUCGCUGGUGGUUGGAUUUUCCAGCGAGCACCCAAGCACUGCUUGGAUCUAUCACUUGGACGAGGUUCAAGAGAGCUUCUGUCUGGCGCACUACUUCCCGACCAGCCGGUCAAGAGGAAGAUGGAGCUAGGGAUCUGACGACCUUGCGCCAAGCGAACCGGACCGUAGCGAGGACGAGACGGGAGUUUUAUCGGCAUUCUGAUUGCGUCUUCGUCGUGCGGGACGACUGGAUGGACAGGCCCGAUCUUUGAACGAGGAUUGAGCGGAGGAUUAGAGACCGUCUAUCUUCCAGGUUUGCUGCAAUCCUGUUAACCAUCCAAAGCUUCACCGGGAAGUGGUGAGAUGCGCGCUCAUACGUGAAGAGUGGCGCGGCCAGAGGUUCAGGCAGCCAGCGUGAGGUUAGGGACAGAGGGAAGGCCAAGAAGAGGCCUGCGGAUGAGGGGUGCGAGCCAGAACGCACUACUAGACGGCCGCCGAGCAUCCGAGGAGCCAGCACCGUGACGCGGCUCAGCAGCACAGCGAGGAGGAUCCGAUCCGGCAGCCGGGACCUUCCGUGUGUGAUCUGCAGGUGGUCCCCAUUACCCCACCGCAGUGUCCACUAGCGCAACGCGGCAGUGUGUUCCAGUGUGGCCAGGAGGCCAGCGUCCGCUAGAGUGCCCGAGAAGGUUCUUCACCACGGCACGGACUGCAUCUGGCACACGGCUCGUACAGCCGUCAGCACGGGACUCCGUCGACACCAGUACCAGCCUGGGCGGCCACCCGAUCCGAGCGCCAGAGCCGAGGAGAUCUCGACAGGCCAGAGUCGGACGCAUGUAACGCGCACCAGACGAGGAGCCGGCAGCAGCCGGCGAUGUGGUUGCACGGUUAUCAUUUUACUUUUGUGGCAUUUAGACGUUUCAGUGCUUUAUUUGAUACCGUGCAUCGCAUUCAUCAUAUUUAGACGGCUGUUCGCCGAGUUGCAUUGGCAUCCCUUUGGGUUCUUUGUUGCAUACGCGACAUUGAUAUGUGAUACCCGACCACAUCUUGACAUUAGAGAAGUUAGCCCAGUUGCCCUGUUAAUCGGGGUAGGCAAGAUAUGGAUCAUUUACCUGUGGAUUUUGCUGCUUUGCGCCAAGUUGGAGGAUUUUGAUGUGGUCUUGGGCAAUGCGAUUGCAGUUGGCCAAAGUAUUUAUGCCACGAUUGAUUGUUAAUGAAUCACUGGUUACUUUUAGAGAACCUGCGGCGACCGAACGGUGUAUUUUGUGGAUGCCCGGAGUUUCGCUGUUUGCAGAUGACGACAGCUCGUUCGGAGCUAGGCAGCUGCAUUAGCAGAGCGUUGUGUAGCUAUUUGUGCUCAUUUGGGCUGAGAGGCGAGGCAUGACACCCCUAAGGAUCGAGGAUAUCCGGGUGGUGCAGGAGUCUCCAGCGAUGUAUUAUCCAGCUGAGUACCGAGGUAUUGCUCAUAGCAUAGCUGAAGAUUGAGUUGUGGUAAGAGUCUCGCGUCCCGUGGCGGAUACACCCAAUCUCAAAGGACCUAUGGAUGCACCGCAGAGCUGCUGACGGGAGCUCGAGGGCGCAACUGCAGAAUUUGUUGGACAAGAGGCUUCAUUCGACCAGAGCGUAUUCGCCUUGGGGAAGCACCAGUUUUGUUCCUGUCAAGAAAAAAGGAGUAUCACUUCGCCUUUGCGUGAUUUCGUGAAUGCUCAACAAAGUCCGAUCAUAGAACAAAGUAUCCGUUUGCGAGGCAUCGACGACUGUGAAUUGAACUCAGCUAUCAGGACGAUCGUCGUGUGUAUUCGAAGAUUAGACUUACAGUCGGGAUACCACCAAUAAAGAUAAAUCCGAGGAUGUAUCAAAGACGGCUUUCAGGACACGUAUGCAGACAUUAUGAGUUCAGCAGUUUGCCGUUCGAGUUUUCUAUGCCACCCAGGCAGUUUUAUGGAUCAAAUCAACCGUCAGUUUUCAACCUUUGAUCUAGACAGGUUCGUCGUGGUUGCUUCAAUCGGACGAUAUUUAUGGUCUCAUCUCGAAGUGAUGCAACGAUUGACGGAGGAGCAUUGGAGAAUUGUACUCAAGAUACGUCGGGAACAAGGAGCUUCCUAUGCCACAGUUGGAAGAUGUGAAUUUUGGCCUUCGAGAGGUAGCUUUCAUUGCGACACUUGACUUCGGGCGAUCGGUAUAGCCGUGGAAGCAAGAAGAUGUGAAGCAAUCAAGUGAUGGCCGAAGACAACGAGCGGUCACGGAGUACGGGCUUCCUUGGAUGGCCAGGUUACCUACCGGGUUGUUGAGGGAUUUGCAAGGUUAUCUUCGCUCCCUCCGAAGGCAUCACGCAUAAAGGAGUCAAGUUCAUUUGGACAAUGACGCGUACGCGAGCGACAAGUUUCCAGAGUUGAAGCACGAGAAUGACGACCGCCCCGAUCUUGCCCUACAGUUACGGGAGGGUAUGUGGUUGAUGUUUAUGCCUCACUUAAUAGGAUUGGCUGAAAAAAAAAAUGAAUAUGAAACCAAGACGAAUGGCAGGCUGAUCCGCGUAAUGCUAUCACUCGCCAACUAAAGGAAUGAAUGAGCAAAAGAACUACAACGCACGCCAUGAUUUGGACGUGGCCGGCGACGUGUGCGCAUUGAAGUAUGGCGCACUACUUUUAUGGCGAGCGAGUGUGAAGUAUACACGGUCAAAGAGCCUUAAAGUACAUUCUACUCAGAAGGGAGUUGAACAUUGAGUCAGCGCAGUCAUGGUUGGAAAUACUCGAAAGGAUGUAUGAUUGAGAUCCUUUACCACCCAGGCAAGGGCCUAACGUGGUGAAGGGAUGCGCUAAGUAGGAAAUCGAUGGAAAAACUUAGCGAUGCAUGUGUGACCAACCGCAGGUUGACUUCGAGCAGCAUGAAGCAUGGCUUGAGUUGCGAGCAUAGUGACUCUGAACACCCUUAGAGGUUGGAUGACAUUCAGUAGUGCAACCUAAUUGAGAAAAACGGAAUCAAAUGAGAAGCAUAGCGUUUCCGAUUUGGAAUGUGCAAAAGAUUAGAGGAAAAAUGGUUGAUGGUUGCACCGGCGAUUUCCUUGUGAGGUUAAUGCGCCCGGGGUCACCCAUCCUAGGACUACUCCCGUCCUAGCACGCUUAACUCUCUUAACCUCUUGGGCCUUGCCACCACCCAAAAUGCUUAAGCCGGGUUAAGAGUUUAGCCCUAAUAUAUCUCAUAUAUAGGACUAUCUGGGGUCUCACAUUUCCCUUUAAAAAAAAAAUAAACUUUUUAAUUUACUAUUUCUUUACAAAUAUUUUCUCCUCUUUCUUGUAAAAAUACAUAUUAGGUUAGUCAUAAAAGUUUACCCUUUUAAUUUUACCUUGUAUAUUUAGCUCCUUUGAUAUCCUCUUUCCUCUAUAUUUAAAUUUUAACCAUAGAUCUUUCCGUCUUUAUUUUUCUUUAAAUAUCCAAGUUUAAAAACAAAAAAAAUUUAUAAGCCGCCUCUCCCUCUAAUCUGGUAUCAGAGCCAAAGCCUUAGUUUUAUCUUAAGCAUAUAGAGCCAAAGCCUUCUAUCUAAGCAUAUAGAUCUUAGUAUUACUAAGAACCUAAAACUACAUAAACUACAACAAUAGUUUUAUUAAACAAAAGAAAAAGACGGCUAGGUUUAAACAUAAAAAGAGAACUAAAGAUCAAAAAGAUAAAUACUUACUUUAUUUCUUAAUAUUAUAUAAUAAACCCUUUCAAAAUCUUCCAUACCCUGUUAAUAGCAUAUUUUACUGGCCAAUACUGUUUCUCACCUAGAGGAUUUUUACAUAUUCCUAGACAAGUCCAAGACUUAUUUCUAAAAGGAUAUAUUAUAGGAUUUAACCUAUUACUCUAUUAGCAUACUGUAUAUUAAGGAUAUUCAUUCUUUGCUCUUACCAUUUACUAGCCACUACUUUAAGCCUAAGAUAUUACUUUUUACUCUCUUAAGAUAAAUCCAAAUAGAAUCUUACAACACCUUUUACUAUCUAUAGAGCAAACCACUAAAAGCCAAUUAGCUCUUCUUAGUAGGAUAUCUCAAAACAUAGAUUAUAUCAAAAAUCAUAGUGAAAUAGAAAAGAAAAUUAUAGUUAUUAAUAAUCGGCUAAGCCAACUUGAGGCUAAACCUAGAAAUUUUGAACAAAAAUUAACUAAAAUAGAACAUGACCUUACGCUAAGUCUUAGAGCUUUAGCUGAAAUAAAACGAAUUACCCUUGAAUGAGUAAAGAUAGUAAAGAAUACAGAGUAGCCUUAACAGAAAGUACAAACAUACUACCAAGAUCCAGUAGGGUUUUCCUCUUGUAAUCCCCAAUCAAUCGCUGAACAAACAAUAAUUAAACAAAAUAACACUAUUAUACAAUUAUUAAUUGAUUUACAUAAAAGAUUAGACGAUAUAGGUUAUUUAUUUACACAAUAUAAUAUUCAAAAAACCACAUUAGUUGUAGACGAAAUAACUAAACAAUUUUCAAGCCUUAAAAUCGGAGAACCUAAACCAAGAAAAUCUACAGCAUGGAAUUUUUAUCGAGUAGCUCCCAAACACCCAGUCAAUCCUCAGGAAAUGUCCGAACCUCCAGAUCAAUAAUGCAAUUUCCUACAAACAAUACAAAAAAUAUACUUAGUAGAAUAUUUAGUAAAACAUCUCAUAGAGAACAAGGGACACAAUUAGACAUGAUAAUAGACAUAGAUAAAGAUAUAGAAAUAUUUAGAAAUGAAAGUCUAAAAUUACUAAAACCAUAAAUUCUUUAUGAAAAAGGAAAGUUUGCUGGAAAAGCUGCCUUCUAUAGACAUGAUAGAGAAGAAGCUAUUGCUUGUUAUGAUGGGCAAUAUGUGACUUUAAAUUUAAUAGACAAAAAAUCAGAAGAAGCUAUUUUAAAGGCAGGAUUAAACUUAAUGCAUUUAGGAUUGAUAGUAGUAGGUAUUAAAGGCAUGACAAGGAAACAAUUAGGUUCAAAAACAUCAUUAAUGGUAUAUAUGAUGGUAGACAUUUUAAAGCGCCACUUGCAUCUUUAGGAUUAACAGAAAUUUACAUGAAUUACAAUGGCGGAAUUUUUUAUUGUAGUCCAGAUUAUCUUAUGAAAACAAAUGAAUUUGCCAAACAUAUUAAAAUAGGAAUACAAACAAAAGGACUUGAAAUGAAUACAGAUACUAGUAACUUAUUAGUAUGUAUAGGAUAUAUUGGACUUUUAACAGAAACUUGUCAAACAAAUUUCCAAUUAAAUGUAAAAGGAAUUGUAGAAUUAAUGGGCAGUAAAGGAAUGAGGCUAUAAACUCUGAACAAAACGCAGGAUUAGAAUGGGAUAUAGAAAAAUUUAUGACAAAAAAUAGAAUAUUAGUACCAAAAUGAUACAAUUUAUUAUAAGAAUGAACAAGGAAGACAUUAUGUUAGAUUUCUAGAUUAUACAACCCAUCUUCAAGAAGAUGAAGAAGAUACAGAGUAGAAAAGAUACAAAUCUUUUAGUCAAGAACAAUUAAAUGAAGUUCAAACAGACCCCUCUAUAGAUCAUCCUAUAACACCUCCAGAUCUUGCAUUAAUGAAUAUAGAAAUAGAACAACAAAACUAUAAUGAAGAAGACGAUGAAAAUGACGAAGACUUUAGUUCAUAAGAAGAACAAAGGCUAAUUGAACAAAUAAGAUUAAAAAGAUUACGAAGAGAUGAAAGGAAUAGGCGAGACAGAUUUACUGUAACUAGUGUUUCUAUAUUUGAUAUUCUAGAAAAAAUUAAAAAUCCUGAAGAAAUGAUACUUGUAGAAGAAGGACAAGUAUCUACCCAAACCCACCAAAAUCCACAAACUCCUCAACAAAACCAAAAUCAAAAUCAAAAUCAAAAUAAAAAACCAACAACACUUUCUGCAAACACUCCUUUUCAUGGUACAGUAAAUUUAACUUCAAAAUCCUACAGUACAAUAAAUUUUCCUAGAUACCCUGUUCAUCAUGCAACUGAAGAAUAAAUAUAUCCAUAUGGUAGAUAUGUUAAGUCAAAAGGAAAAAGAUUACCUAUAGAAAAACCUACUAUUAAAUUAUAAGACGCAGGAAGUGGUAAAAUCUUAAACCUAGCAGCCCAUGAUCCACAAAUAUGGAAUAGUGUUAUAGAUAUAUGGAAAGGAUUAGAAAUAGCCGAUUAUAUUAGAAAUAUUGUUACUGAUAAUGCUGAAGAAAUGUAUAAAUAUUUAGAAACAUAUCUAGGAGAAUCAACCAAAGCUAUGUGGGAACAAUUCAAAACACAAUAUGAAGACGAAUUUAAACAUAUACUUGCCUUAGGAUGUAAUCCAUGUUAUUUUACAAAUAAGUUACAUGCUUUAAUAACAGGACAAGACCCUAAAUCGGGACAAAUAGGAUUACAAAGUAAUGUUUUAAUAAGCUUAGAACAAUUAAGUAUUUACAAUUGGGUACAUAUUAAAAAGUUUCUAAGUGACUAUUAUUAUUAUGCUAGUAUUAGUGGGAACACAUUUAAUUCAGAAAUUGGUAAAGAAUUAUUCCUUAAAUUACCAGGAGUCUUAGGUAGAGAAAUUCAAACAAGAUGGGAUAAUUUAGACAUUCAUAAGACUAAUCCUAAUACUUUAUGGUCUAUAGGGCAAUGAAUCCAAUUUGUAAUGAACAUAUUACAAGAAAAAUGUGCUAAUAUUCAAAUACAAAAACAAUUAAAAAAUAAUGAUUACUCUUUUGUAAAAGUAUAAUAUAUACCCCUCAACAAUGUGAUACUCGGUCUUCUCAGACUCCCAGAUCUCAUCACUAUAAACAAAAUGAUAAACGUAAAUUUAAGAAACGCUAUUUCUUACGAAAAUCCCAAGCUAGAAAACUUUAUCUCAACAAAGAUAGACAUGUUCGCAAAUUUAGGGGGGAUAGGACAUAUAAGAACAAAUUGCAUAGUUAUACUUGCGGUAGUACAGAAUAUUUUGCGAACACAUGUCCAAAAAGAAUGAAUAGGAAAGAUAGAAAUGCCUUAGUUGUAGAAGAAACUCAAGAAAAUUUAUUAGCUAUAGAUGAAUAUAUAUAAGAUACAGAAUCUAUUUAUUCUAUAAUAAGCAUUGACACUUAUAAUAAUGAAUCAUCUUCUGAAGAAGAAGAAGAGCAGAGUAACUUUAUAGCAGAAAUAGCUGAAAACAAAAAUUUCGUAAAAAUGAUACGUUACAAUAUUUAAACUUUGUCCAAAUAACAACAUUUAUGAAUACAAACUGUAACCAUACAUGGAAAGUAGAAUGCAGAUUUGAUAAUAGACCACCUGUAUACUGCCAGGGAUACCCUGAAAGGAAAGUAAGAUGUAAAUGUCAAAUAUGUAAAAUAGAAGCCUGUAUUAUGUGUAGAAAAAAUAUUUAAUAUAACCUUUAGUAAAUCUGUAGCUAUGACCAAUUUCUCUUAUGAACAAAUAUUCGCAUUAGAAAAAAGGAAUAGUAGCCCUAUAAGCAAGAGUAAGUAUAUUGGAAAAACAAAAUUAUGAUGCCAUAGAUAAAACUAGGAAAGGUAAAGGAAUUGUUAUAGAAGAAGAAACGACUUAUAAUAAUCUAGAAUAUUACGAAAAAUAUAAAAUUAGUGAAGAUAGUUAUAUAUGUAAUGAAAAUAAACAAUUAAGGAGUAUUACCGUUCCUCGUAAAAUUAAAAUAGGAACGCAUAUAAUAAAUACAACAGCUUUAAUAGAUACUGGAUGUACAACAAGUUAAAUAAAUUCUACAUUAAUUCCAACAAAAUAUUAUAAGAUAACUGAAAAUAUAACAACAGGAAUGCAAAUAGGCGGUACAACAUACACUUAUUCUCAUUAUAUCGAAAAUGCUAAAAUAAGUUUUUUAGACACAUGUGAAUCUUAUAGUGAAUAUUAUUCAAUACUCAAAAUAUGGCUAAAACCAUUACAUAUACAUACAGACUUCGUUUUAGGAUUAAAUUUUAUCCUAGAUCAUUUAGGAGGUAUAAGCAUUAAUAGAGAUUAUGUCCAUUUUUAUAAAAGGAUUACACAAACACCAAUUUAUUCAGAUCAAAAAGAAAACUAACACAACCACAAUAAAAGAAAUAAAACAAAAAUGUUGUGAUAAUUGCCCUAUAGGAAAACCUUGCUGCCAAAAAGAAGAAAUAAUAGAAGAAAAAAUAGAAGAAAAAAUAGAUGAAACAGAUUUAUUACAAUUUGAUGAUUUGGAUUUCACAUAUAAUCAUGAAAAGCUAUUGGAUGAUAAUUCUUUGAUAAUAGAUUAUGAACUAGACUAUGUAAACUGGGAAAAAAUGUUGUUAAAUAUUGGAUUCAUUAGAAAUCAAGGAGAUAUAGAUAACAUACUAGAACAAUUAGAUAAGAUUGAGAUAAUGGGUGACAACCCCAUAAAAUACUGGGAAAAAGAUAAAGUGUAUUGUAAAUUAGAUAUUAUAAAUCCAGAAUACAUUGUAAGAACAACCUAUAUAGAAGCUUUUAAUGAAGAAAACGAACAAUUUAAAUUACAUAUUAAUGAAUUAUUAAAAUUAGAUGUAAUUAAGAAAUCUAUGUCAAAACAUAGGUCAACAGCUUUCAUUGUAGUGAAACAUGCAGAAAUAGUUAGAGGAAAAAGUAGAAUGGUAAUAAAUUAUAAACGGCUAAAUGAUAAUACAAAAACAGAUGCUUAUAAUAUCUCUGAUAAAUCUCAAUUAAUUAAUAGUAUACAAGGCAAAAGAAUUUUUAGCAAAUUUUAUUGUAAAUUAGGAUUUUGGCAAGUUAAAAUGCACGAAGAAAGUAUAGAAUGGAUAGGAUUUACAUGUCCAGAAGGACACUUUGAAUGGUUAGUUUUGCCCUUUGGUUUAAAAAAUGCACCUUCAGUAUUCCAACGAAAGAUGGAUACUAUAUUUAACGAAUAUAAACAGUUCGUUCUGGUUUAUAUAGAUGACAUCUUUGUGUUUAGUAAAGAUCUAAGAGAACAUUUAGGACAUUUACAAAUUGUAUUUAAUGAAUUCAUUAAACAUGGGAUUAUUAUUUUUAGAAAAAAGGUAGAAUUAUGCAAAACAUAUAUCAAUUUUUUAGGAGUUACAUUGGGAGAAGGAAAAAUGAAAUUACAACCUCAUAUUACUAAAAAGAUCUUAGAAAUGCCAUAUAAAUUAGAAACUUUAAAAGAGCUACAAUCAUUUUUAGGAUUAGUAAAUUAUGCUAGAACUUUUAUAAAAGAUUUAGGAAAAAUUGCAGGGCCGCUAUAUGCUAAAACAGGAAAAGCAGGCUAGAGACAUUUUAAUACAGAAGAUAUUAAAUUAGUUCAACAAAUAAAAUCUUUAGUAUCUAAACUUCCAGACCUAGCCCUUCCCUUAGAUAUAGAUUAUAUUAUAAUUGAGACUGAUGGAUAUGCCUUAGGAUGGGGCGCUGUACUAAAAACAAAACCUAACAAAUAUAGUCCACAAAAAGAAGAAAAAUUAUGUAGUUAUGCAAGUGGUAAAUUUAAAGAAAAAUGCUAUAUUAGUAGUAUAGAUGCCAAACUAUUAGCUAUUAUAUAUGCUUUAAAUGCAUUUAAAUUAAACAUAAUGAACAAAAAAGAAAUAACUGUUAGAAUAGAUUGUGAAGCUAUUAUAAAAUUCCAUAAGAAGAAAGAAGAAAAAGCUAGCUCUAGAAGAAGAUGGAUAAAUUUCCAAGAUAUCCGGAUAUCUUUAUUAACUAUUAAAUUCGAACAUAUAAAAGGAAAAGACAAUUACUUUCCUGACCAAGUUGAGGAAUUUUAGGUUAUACGUUUGAAAUUAACGUGAUGAAUUUUUUUUUCAGAUAACAUCAUGGAUCCAAGAACAAGAACACAACCAAGUAGAAGACUAACAUUUGGAAAAGUGAGUUUAUGCUCCUUCCCACAUGACAAUAACCUUGUUUUCCGCAUUAGAGAGAUACUUCAAAAUAUUUGACAGAAGAACAGAAAUGCUUAAUAGAUAAUCUAUCGAUCAGUUAUCAUUAAGCAUCCAAUCAUAGAGAACCAGCUAAAAAAUGUUGUACCAUGCAUUAACUCCCUUAUAGAAUAUUUUCAAACCAUCGAAGUUAAUAAUAAUUUUUCUUUUUACGUUUUAUUUAGAGGACAUAGAACUGGAGUCUUUCAUUCCUAGUUAGAAGUUGUAGAACAAACUAGGAAUUACCUUACUCCACAAUACAAGGGCUUUACCACUCUUUCGGGAGCUUUAGAUAUAGCUAGACACUUCUUUGGUCCCAAUUUUUUUCUCUCUCCUUCUAUCAGAACAUCUCAAGAAAUUUCUCCAUCAUAUAUAAUAAUUGCUCACGACACAAAUAAAAUUAUUUUUUGUGACCACUGUGAAAGUAUGCAAAGAGCCAUUCAGAAAUUACAUUACAGUAGCCGGGCUUUACAAACGGAGAAACAAAAAUUAUUACAGCAAAUCAAACAUUUAGAAGAUCAACUAGCUUCUUUAACCCUUUUAGAAAAACUAGUUUCUCAACCUUUACCUCCUCCACCUCAAUAUCUUCUAAUUUUACAUUCUCAAAUAAUUUCUCCAGACUUAAAACAAAAACAACCUAUGAUACCCAUUCCACCCUUCCAUCCACUUCCACAACAAACUAGGUUUCCACAAGCCCAAUACCACAAGCACCUCAUAAAGCUCCAACAACUCUACCAGAAUAGGUACAAGGAGAAUAGUCUAUUUAAACAUAUGCCAUAUUCCCACCAGAUAUUAUGACAAUGCUACAAGAACAAAUAAUAGUACAACUACUUUCAAAAUUAGAACCUCCAAGAAUAGUCACCGAGGAUCCUCAAGCCAGUUCAAGAAGAUUCUCCUUCUUUAUCGUCAUCAUUACUCCAAAAUACAGAAUCACCAAACAAUGGUUCAGGCGCAGGAAUUUCCGAUGACAGCAUAAUAUUACACAAUUUAGAUACAAUAGAUUAAAAAAUCGCCGCUGUAAGUAUUCCUUACAGGAAAAAGUUAGGGGAAUAAAUAAAAUUUUAUAGUUGUAUCAAAAAAUCUUGUUAUAAGAUUUCGUACGUACAAAAAGUAGGGGAAAAUAUUUUCAAAAUAUUAUCUUGUUGCGAGAUUUUUACUCACAAGCAAAACUUAGGGAAAAAUGUUUUACAAAAACAAGCUAGGACGAUUUCUAUCAAAGACAUAGUAAGAAGCAGAUUCGGUAUUAUCAGCAAUCAAUUAUCCAAAGCUACUAUUAAAAAGCAUCUCUAUAUCUCCACUCACAAAAAGCAUCUCGAAGGACAACCAUUGAAGCAUCUUCUAUCACAUUCUAGUCCGAAUUUAGGUCCAAGCUUUAGGGUAACUGUACCAAGAAAAAUAUAAUGAGAUAAAGAAUUUAAGAAAUAUAUAACAAAUUUAGAACUUAUUCUAUAGAUAAGAUAGAAGGGAGUACCUAGUAGGGACCUUAACCCUCUAUCUUUUUCCUCUAAAAAAAAAAUGAAACUUUUACCCUCUCUAUAAAUAUUUUCUCUCUAAAAAAAAUAAACUUUUUAAUUUACUAUUUCUUUAUAAAUAUUACACUUUAUAAAUAACUUUGGACCUAAAUUCAGAGAAAAUAAAAAAGUUCCAAGAACACUUUAUAAAUAAGUUCCAAGAACUUAUUCUAAUAAAAAAUUAGAAGGAGAGGCGGCUUAUAUAUAUAUAUAUUUUUUCACUUGGAUAUUUGAAGGAAAAUAAAGACGGAAAGAUCUAAGGUUAAAAUUUAAAUAUAGAGGAAAGAGAAUAUGGAAGGAGAUAAAUUUACAGAAGAAAAUAAUAAAAAAGGUAAAGUUGAAAGGGUAAAUUUUUAUUACUAAUCUAAUAUGUAUUUUUUUAUAAGAAAGUGGAGAAAAUAUUUAUAAAGAAAUAGUAAAUUAAAAUAAAAAAAGUUUCAUUUUUUUUUUAGAGGAAAAAGAUAGAGGGUUAAGGUCCCUACUAGGUACUCCCUUCUAUCUUAUCUAUAGAAUAAGUUCUAAAUUUGUUAUAUAUUUCUUAAAUUCUUUAUCUCAUUAUAUUUUUCUUGGUACAGUUACCCUAAUGCUUGGACCUAAAUUCGGAGAUACUAUUCAUCCUAGAUGAUGAAUAUCACUUGAGACAGGCUGUUGGUGCACAAGAUCCUCAUGACAUACAGUUUUUAGAGAUUUCGGCUCACUUUCGCCUAUUGUCAUUCUUGCGGCAUAACAGCUUUUCAGAGCAUCUCUUAUGAAAUCUGCCAAGGGUAUAUGCUUUACAACUGCUCAAGAUAUAAUAAUCAUCAUGGUUGGAUUUCCUAAUAUGACCUAAAUAGGUUCAAGGUGUAGGAUACUAUGGAACAAAGAAAAUAUAAUGGAUAUAGGAAGAUAAGAAAUACAUUAAACAAAUAUUAUAGACGAUAGAAGGUUUCCCUUUCGGGAAGACCAAAAGGGAUGAAGAAAAACUUUAAGAUUAUCAAACUCUUUACAAUGGAAGGAAGAGAAAGAUUUUUACAAAAGGAAAAGAAGGCCAUAAGCUAUUGCUCUUGGAUGUUUGGAGGUUGGAGUGCUUGGUGGUUCGAUGCCUGCUGCUUGAAGAGGAGUCCUUUAUUUGUAGUGGUGUUAUGGUUCUUGAAAGAUGUAUGUAGAGGUUUCAAGAAGGAUUCCCUGAUUAGAUGUCCGUCCUUGUUACCAUGCUUGGAUUCCUUAUCUAAUACCUUUGACCAGAAUGUGAUAGAAGAUGCUUUAAUGGUUGUUCUUCGAGAUGCUUUUUGUGAGUGGAGGUACAGAGAUACUUUUUAAUAGUAGAUUUGGAUAAUUGAUAGUUGAUAAUGUCGAAUCUGCUUUUUACUGUGUCUUUGAUAGAAAUCGUCCUUAUGAGAUUCGCUACUGUGCUUUUUCUUGUCUUUUGUAAAGAAGGUCCUAGCUUGUUUUUGUAAAACAUUUUUCCUUAAGUUUUGCUUGUGAGUAAAAAUCUCACAAUGGGAUAAUUUUGAAAAUAUUUUCCUCUACUUUUUGUCUAUAAGUAAGAAAUCUUACAACAGGAUUUUUUGAUAUAACUAUAAAAUUUUAUUUAUUUCCCUAACUUUUGCCUGUAAGGAAUACUUACAGCGGGGAUUUUUUAAUCUAUUGUAUCUAAAUUGUGUAAUAUUAUGCUGUCAUCGAAAAUUCCUGCGCCUGAACCAUUGUGGUGAUUUUGUAUUUUGUUGGAAUAAUGAUGACGAUAAAGAAGGAAAGGAGAAUCUGCUUGAACUGGCUUGAGGAUUCUCAGUGACUGUUCUUGGAGGUUCUAAUUUUGAAAAUACCUAUGCUAUUAUUUGUUCUUGUAGCAUUGCUAUAAUAUCUGAUAGGAAUAUGGCAUAUACUUGAGUAGACUGUUCUCCUUGUAUCUGUUCUGGUAGAACUGUUGGAGAUUUAUGAGGUGUUUGUUGUAUUGGGCUUGUGGAAAUCUGGUUUGUUGUGGAAGUGGAUGGAGGUGGAAUGGGUAUCAUAGAUUGUUUUUGUUUUAAGUCUGGAGAAAUUAUUUAGGAAUGUAAAAUUGAAGGUAUUGAGGUAGAGGAGGUAAAGGUUGAGGAACUAGUUUUUCUAAAAGGGUUAAAGAAGGGUUUUUUAGCGCAAUAGUUUUCUCCUAAAAUUUUAUUCUAAAAAUCGACCUGUGAAAUUUUUAUUUAUAAAUAUGGUCUUAUAAAAGCGGUGAAUGGUUCACCGCUUUUAAAAGCGGUGAAUUAAAAGCGGUGAACCAUUCACCCCUUUCUUUCUUUUUCUCACUUUCUAUAUUUCUACGAUGGUAAAAGCGGUGAAUGGUUCACUGCUUUUACUCUUUUUCUACUCCUAAUAAGGAGUUAUGAAUGCGGUGAAUGAUU
rnacentral:lncRNA from 1 species